CACAGUGGUCGGUGCAUCCCCAUCCAUAUGUUGACAUCGUUUGCGCAUGACCGUGUUAUAUACCAGAGGUCACAUCCUGCAAAAUGAAAAGACUUGUUACUUACGUCCGUUAUGACUGAGACCGCAAAUACCUCUGAAACGUCUGUGAACUUUUACGAAACUACACGAAGAGAGACAUGUUAAGCAUAUCUUUUUGUGUUCGGAAUAGAUCUGAGUGACAUUUGAUCUGAGGUGAUGUUUCUGGAUAUAUUUUAGAGUGUAAUUUAGUCUCCUAUCACAGCUUCAGAGAAACGUAAUUUCCGGUUCGAAUUGUGGAAUCGAAGAAAUUGCAACAUAUACCCAUGUUACGUGUAGUGUGUGUCUAGGUUAAAACUGCAAAGAAUAAAGUUAAGGACAUGUUCGGGCUGCCACCGCCUGUCGAAUGACUGCCUACCGCCAUAAAUGAAGAUAUAGAAGAAAGAGAUAAAGCGGGAGAAAUUAAAGAGGAAAGGAUAACGUAAUAGAAAAAUAUUGAGUACAUGAAGAAAAGUGGAAGAAUAAAGUCAGUGUUAAAAACAUAAUUACUAGAAUAUGAACGUAAAAAACCGAGGAAUUAAAAACAAUUCAGGAGAAAAAAUGAGGAAGAAGAGAAGGAAUUAUCUCAAGGUAUCUCGUAAAAUUCUUUAAAUUUUCAAUAGCUCGAAGAGUAAACAGAGAAGUUUAUUUCUCAGCGAUUAUGGAAAUUUCUUUACAGCUAGAUGAACAUCAGUGGGGUGCUAACAGUUUUUGAUGGAAGUAAUAUACAUCGAGUGAGUUCUCGUGUGUGUUUCCAAGAUAAUACCACCUAAAACUUAACAGAAACUUUAAAAAAAAACGAAGUAACUACUAAGAACUUUGCCUUCAUAUUUAGUGUCGUCCCUUCGUACUUUUGUGUUCGAAUUACACAGUCCAGUGCACAAACGUCCUGACGUGAAUUAUUAUUAUUAAUAUGGUUUAGCUUCGUGGUUGGGCG